GACGAACGCUGGCGGCGUGCUUAACACAUGCAAGUCGAACGGAAAGGCCUGCUUUCCCUUGUGGAUUGCGGGUACUCGAGUGGCGAACGGGUGAGUAACACGUGAGUGAUCUGCCCCCAACUUGGGUAUAAGCCUGGGAAACUGGGUCUAAUUCCCGAUAGGACUGCAGGGUGGUGCCUGUGGUGGAAAACGAUUUUCUAGUGGUUGGGGAUGAGCUCGCGGCCUAUCAGCUUGUUGGUGGGGUAAUGGCCUACCAAGGCGGCGACGGGUAGCCGGCCUGAGAGGGUGGACGGCCACAUUGGGACUGAGAUACGGCCCAGACUCCUACGGGAGGCAGCAGUGGGGAAUACUGCACAAUGGGCGGAAGCCUGAUGCAGCGACGCCGCGUGGGGGAUGACGGCCUUCGGGUGGUAAACUCCUUUCGACCGCGAGGAAGCCACCUGGUUGGAAGGGUGGUGACGGUAGUGGUAGAAGAAGCACCGGCUAACUACGUG
rnacentral:rRNA from 1 species